UACGUAGGGUCCGAGCGUUGUCCGGAAUUAUUGGGCGUAAAGGGCUCGUAGGCGGCCCUGUAAGUCCGCUGUGAAAGUCAAGGGCUCAACCCUUGGAUGCCGGUGGAUACUGCAGGGCUAGAGUCCGGAAGAGGCGAGUGGAAUUCCUGGUGUAGCGGUGAAAUGCGCAGAUAUCAGGAGGAACACCGGUGGCGAGGGCGGGUCUCUGAGCCGAUAUUGACGCUGAGGAGCGAAAGCGUGGGGAGCGAACAGG
rnacentral:rRNA from 1 species